UCCAGCUGCAGCUCAAGAAGCGCCCGAUCCAUUUUAUUCAUCAUCAGAACCGGCUUGAUGCGCUCAGCGAUGGCCUGCCGCAGUACCGUCUCAGUCUGCACACACACACCUGUCGGAGGACACAAAUAGAUGGGUCGAUGCUACACUUGGACAUCAGUCCUCAUCCCGACUCCAAACCAGCAAGGCACCCAGAGGCUCGUCCUCCUCAGGAUCAAGGAACCAGCCUCGCUCCCUGGCUCCUUCCUGCCUUAUACCUCUCUUUCCUCCCCCAGCCUUUCUCCUGCCUCCUCCUCUUUCCUUUCUGCCCUCACACCCCUCACAACCCUAAGCUCUUGGUCAUGGUAUUAGACAUAAAAAAUAAUAUUACAGGAGGAAGGAAGAACCUUCAAAAGAAAGAAAAAAUGUAAGUAUUUACUCUCUAAUUGAGAGUUAUGUUUUUUGAGUUAUCCUUUAAUGUGGAGAUAUUCAUAAAAUUGCAUUUUUAUAAAAUAGAUUGAUGUACUUUUCUUAAUAGUAGAAAUCUUAAUUUCGUUAAUGCACACACUUUUGAUGUCAAUUGUUUGUAUUUGCCACUUUAUAUUCCUUCUGAAAAGGAUACCGGCCUACCAAUAAGUGUACUUAUUCCAGCUGUGUUUGUUCUUUAACUUAACACAAUGCAGACACUGAACUUUUGUAGCAGUCCUCCACCAGCAGAGUGCAGAGUGGCACAAAACACUUCAAGGGGUAGGAGAAUCUGAAAUGGGAUUUGAAAGGAGUAGAAUCGGAAUACUUCAGGUGUUACAGUCUGUGCUUUUAUGAAUGUGCUCAUAUGAACAAGUACACAUGUGUAUGGUGAGGUUAAUAGGAUGUUUCCACCGUGGACUCAAUUCUACACACAAAGGAGAACUACACAGAAAAAUAGAUUAGUCAUGCAUUCUUCAUGGAUGUAUUACAAAAGCCUCAAACAGUAAUGGGCCCUCUGGAGGCACAAUCUGUGAUGAUAGUAGUGGACAGUGCUUUUCAUUUGAAAUUCUUUAUUAGGAAUAACCCCUUGAGAUGUGUCAUAUUGUUUUCAAGGGGGUCUUAGACUACAGAAAUGUACUCUAAGGGGGGGGACAGGAGGUUUGCAUCGGCAGACCUCCUGUGGGUGGGAGUGUGCUGGUGGAGGGGCUCAGGUAGGUAGGGGGGAGCCAGGUUAUGUAGGGCUUAUCAGGUGAGGAUGAGGAGUUUGAAGUGGAUACACUGGGGGAUGGGGAGCCAGUGGAGGUUAUGAAGAACGGGGGUGAUGUGGUAUUGGGUGCGGGAGUGUGUGAGAAGUCGAGCAGCGGAGUUCUGAAUGUAUUGAAGUUUCGAAAAGUGUUUUGGAUGGUGACCCGCAGAGGAGACUGUUGCAGUAGUCUAGCGAUGUUUCUGAGGUGGAAAAAGGCUGUUUUGGUGAUUUGUUUGAUGUGUUUGUUAAAGGAGAGGGUUUGGUCAAAGAUGACACCAAGGUGACAAAUGUGGGGGGAAGGGAGCACUGUGGAGCCAUCGAUGGUGAGGGAGAAGUUGUUGGUGGAUUUGAUAAUGGAUUUGGGGUCGAUGAUAAUGACUUCUGAUUUGUCGCAGUUGAGUUUGAGAAAGUUGGUUUGAAGCCAGGAUUUUAUGUCUGUGAUGCAGUCAGUGAGGAUUGAGUGAAUGGCAGGAGUGAUAGCUUUGGUGGCGAUGUGGAGUUUGAUGUCGUCGGCAAAGCAGUGAAACUGGAGUCCAUGGCGGUGGAUGUUGUGACCAAGGGGGAGCAUGUACAUGAAGAGGAGGGGACCUAGUACUGAACCUUGGGGAACACCUUGGGAGAGAGGAGCAGUGGGGGAUUUGCAGUGGUUUAUGCUGAUGAACUGGUAUCUGUCAGAGAGGUAUGAUUUGAGCCCUUUUACUGUCUUUUGAGUUGAGCCAGGAGAGUGCAAAAAAAAUUAUUAAUGUCAAAUGAUGAUAAGGCAUACAUAAUCCUACUUAAGGCAGAACAUAAAAUGGAGUGGAUUAUCCACUCACAGGUCAUAAACAAAGACAGUGAAAUAUAAACACAACCUUAAUAAUACAAUUUUGAUGAUGAGGCAGUGUUAUCAUGGACAGUUGCAAAUGGUUCUGAAAUAAGAAGACAAGGCAUAUUAACUGGUAAACUAUUCCAAUCUGAGGGAGCUUUAAACAUGAAGGUUUUCUUGGCUGUUGCUUUUGAGACUGCUGGAAUUGAAAAAAAAGAGCUGGGAGGGGUGUCUUAGUUGAUGAGAAGAGAACACAAGAAUAAACAUUAAGAAUGAAUAAAACUAAUAAAGAGUAUUAAAAAAAGGAUGAAUAAAACUAAGAGGAUAUUCACAGAUAUUGUCAAUAUUGU